UGAGUUUGUGAAUCCAAAAGAUUAUGAUAAGCCUGUUCAACAGGUGAUUGCUGAUAUGACUGAUGGAGGAGUCGAUCGGAGUGUUGAAUGCACUGGGAGUAUCCAAGCCAUGGUCUCAGCAUUGGAAUGUGUUCAUGAUGGUUGGGGUGUUGCUGUACUCCAAACAAGGAUGACGCAUUCAAAACUCAUCUUAUGAACCUGUUGAAUGAGAGAACUCUCAAGGGAACCUUCUUUGGCAAUUACAAGCCCCGCAGUGAUCUUCCUUCUGUUGUGGAAAUGUACAUGAAUAA
rnacentral:misc_RNA from 1 species